GAUGAACGCUAGCUACAGGCUUAACACAUGCAAGUCGCGGGGCAGCAUGGGGGUUGCUUGCAAUCCCCGAUGGCGACCGGCGCACGGGUGAGUAACGCGUAUCCAACCUGCCCUUCACCACGGGAUAACCCGGCGAAAGUCGGACUAAUACCGUAUGUUGUCCAUUGACGGCAUCCGAUUUGGACGAAAGGUGUGGCGGUGAAGGAUGGGGAUGCGUCCGAUUAGCUGGACGGCGGGGUGACGGCCCACCGUGGCGACGAUCGGUAGGGGUUCUGAGAGGAAGGUCCCCCACACUGGAACUGAGACACGGUCCAGACUCCUACGGGAGGCAGCAGUGAGGAAUAUUGGUCAAUGGGCGUAAGCCUGAACCAGCCAAGUAGCGUGCAGGAUGACGGCCCUAUGGGUUGUAAACUGCUUUUAUGCGGGGAUAAAGUGGCCCACGUGUGGGUUUUUGCAGGUACCGCAUGAAUAAGGACCGGCUAAUUCCACG
rnacentral:rRNA from 1 species